AUGGCGGCCGCGUCUGUCCCUCCAGAAAGCUCAAUUAUCCAUCGGGCCAGCAGCGCCAUGAAGCGCACUGACGGUGGGAGGCUCGAGUUAGAAAUUAGGAAAGGAAUCUUCGCCCGGUUUGGGAGCGCCUGUCUCCUCUUCUCUCGUUGCUCGCAGCCAAGGCAGCCCCGGAGCUGGGGGCCCCAGGUGAAUGUUUUUGCCCUCUGGCCGGCGAUCAGGAGACCUGCGCACGUUAGCCGCCGAGUGACCCUAGCUUGAGCCUGCAGCCACACCGGCGGGAUGGGGGCGGGGAGGAAGAGGAAGGGCGGAGAGAUUUCCUUCUAGAGGGAGUGGUUGGAGAACCGGCGGGAGAAGGGCCAAGGGAAGAUCCGGUCAUCUGCUCCCGAGUCUGCACCCGGAAAGGCGAGUUCACCGGCCCCGGAGGAAAGGGGACACGCCCACUGUUCCCAGGGCAAAUGUGUCGCCGGCAUCCUGGACUCUGCCAGGCAAGACGCACAUUCACUACGCUCUGCCGGGAGGGGAGCGCAGCAGAGCUGCCCCUCUUUGGCUGCAAGACCCUGAGCAAGAGAAACCCGUAGGGGCUUUGCAGAGACCUGAAUCCCACCCACCAACCACACGGGCACCUACGGGCUGCCCCUCGGGGCAGGAUCAGCCAGCGGGAAGGGGGUUGAGGUUCCUCUGCGGCCUGGUGGCUGCCCGAGGGGCCGCCGGAGUCCAUCCACUUAUUCCUCAGUUGUUAAGCGCCCGGCAGGAGCAAACCGCUAGAAAGGAGUAUGCUAAGACCCCAUUACCCACUAAAUCUCCAGUUUCAUCUUUUGCGUCCUGCAUGACCAGGCCUUUCUGGUUUCUCAGGAGAACCUUCUGACCCAACUCUUCCCACAUCGGAAGAGUUUCCUAGUCUUUGUUCCAUACUGGCCGACAUAGAAGCAACUGUCACGUGUCAAUGUCAAAUACUGCGCUAGGCACUGGGCAUUCAAGGCACAGGAACCCGGCUUUUGCGCCGAGCGCUCACAGACCAGUGGGUGCAAAUCCUGAGGGACACACAGCUUGUCCCUUUAGCGACCACCACUUCUUUUGUGAGCUCCCGCUAAGGGUAGGUAAGUACUUGGGAGGGUUCCAGAAGAGGCCUCCUUUGAGCCGAAUCUGCAGAGACCAAGUGUCUACGAAAACUGCUUAAGAGUGCUUUGCACAAGGAGGCUGAGGCAGGAGAAUUGCCUGAACCCAGGAGGUGGAGGUUGCGGUGAGCCGAGAUCGCGCCAUUGCACUCCUGCCUGGGUAACAAGAGCGAAACUUCGUCUCAGGGGGAAAAAAAAAAAGAGUGCUUUGCACAUUCUCAUCCACAAAGGUCGAGGCUCCCACUGCGCCCAGGAAUGCGCCUCGGCAGACAUUAGGCGCCCCUUGAUUUUGUGUUUGCAUCUCACCCGGUCCGCUAGCUGACAAUGGCAUAGAAGAGUCAGUGUCUGUCACAGGCUAGAGGCUCGCAGAGGAUAGGAACGCGGGAAAUCUAGGCAAUUACUUCCCGCACAUACGAAGAACUAUUGCGAAGUUAAGAUCCCUUUAAAAACGGUGACGAGGCGGGAGAGGGCAGCUCCUCUCGUGCUUUCAGGAACGUCUUUACCUGUGUUCUUUACACCUUUUAUCUCCCCCAAACAAGGUCAUUGGUCUGUUUCUGCUUCUAUUUCUCCAUUCUCCUCCCCAUCUCUCUGUAUUUCCAAGGGAAAAAAUUGUGUUGCUUUAAUUCUAAUGCUUCUCAUAUUAAAUGCGUCUCUUUCCCCUCUC